rnacentral:rRNA from 1 species
CACGUAGGGCGCAAGCGUUGUCCGGAAUUAUUGGGCGUAAAGAGCUCGUAGGCGGUCUGUUGCGUCCGCUGUGAAAACUCGGGGCUUAACCCCGAGCCUGCAGUGGAUACGGGCAGACUAGAGUUCGGUAGGGGAGACUGGAAUUCCUGGUGUAGCGGUGAAAUGCGCAGAUAUCAGGAGGAGCACCGGUGGCGAAGGCGGGUCUCUGGGCCGAUACUGACGCUGAGGAGCGAAAGCGUGGGGAGCGAACAGG